rnacentral:rRNA from 1 species
UACGUAGGGUGCAAGCGUUGUCCGGAAUUAUUGGGCGUAAAGAGCUCGUAGGCGGUUUGUCGCGUCUGCUGUGAAAACCCGAGGCUCAACCUCGGGCCUGCAGUGGGUACGGGCAGACUAGAGUGCGGUAGGGGAGAUUGGAAUUCCUGGUGUAGCGGUGGAAUGCGCAGAUAUCGGGAGGAACACCAGUGGCGAAGGCGGCUACCUGGCCCAUUCUUGACGCUGAGGCGCGAAAGCUAGGGGAGCAAACGGG